AAACAGAAAUGAUGAGCAAACUUUGUCAAUCUAACAGUUAUCCCUGUCGGAAUACAAAUUAAUUGUCGAUAAGAUGGACUCUGAUCUUAGC
rfam:Rhizoclosmatium globosum strain JEL800 BCR33scaffold_56, whole genome shotgun sequence.